rnacentral:rRNA from 1 species
AUGAAAUUUGUCUACAGAUGGAACAUAGGGGAUGGGAGCAGAACCAGGUUCCAGGAAGAUACUUGGUUUGGCACAUCCGCCCUAGCAAUCCAAUUUUGGCCUAUUUACUCUGUCCACAAUGAGCUUAACAAAAGUGUCAAUGAAGUUUGGGACGGUCAAUGCCUAAAACUCUCUUUUAGAAGGAACUUUAGUGAUAGUCUCAUGGAACAAUGGUUCCAGUUGGAGGAAAUUGCCAAAAGCAUUACCUUUACUGUCGAGCUGGAUGCCCUGAUUUGGUAG